CAAGUAACAUCUAUGCCACCUUUACCAAUAGACAAUAAUUCAACCAUAAUAUCAGAGUCAAUAAUCUGACCCUGUGCUUCGCACACAGGAAAGAAUGUUCCCCUGCACUCUUUGUGGAUGGAGGAACCUGCCUCUGCUUAGCCUUCACUUCAAGUUGACUCCAUGCCUGUGGAUUAUGUACCCUGGCCAUGACCACCCACCAACUAUAAGCCUGCUCUGUGUUUUAUUUCACUUCAAGAUAGAGCAACAGAGGCAUCAACCAAACAACCAACCUGAUCAUGGAAAAGCCCAGGGUCCCAGGAGAGAAGGACUGAACUCAGCACCUUGCGCUUGCAAGGCAGGUGGUGGAACCACUGAGCUAAAUGCCUGGCCCACUUUUUUCUCUUUUUAAACAGAAGUUAAAAUAAAAGUAUAAAAUUAAAAUGAGAAAUAUCAUGUAAAUACCACCUUAAUUUGCACAUUUCCUCCAGUAUUUCAACAAUUUCAUGUUGAUAUGAAAAGUUUCUGUAGUU
rnacentral:lncRNA from 1 species